UGCACAGGCGGGCUUGUAAGUCAGUGGUGAAAUACUGCCGCUUAACGGUAGAACUGCCAUUGAUACUGCGAGUCUUGAAUAUGGUUGAGGUAGGCGGAAUGUGUUGUGUAGCGGUGAAAUGCAUAGAUAUGACACAGAACGCCGAUUGCGAAGGCAGCUUACUAAGCCAUUAUUGACGCUGAGGCACGAAAGCGUGGGGAGCGAACAGGAUUAGAUACCCUGGUAGUCC
rnacentral:rRNA from 1 species